GUCAACACUGUUGUAUGCAUUUUUUAUAUCCACAAAUAGUGCUGCAGUGUGUUUGUUUUUUCUGCUAUCAUACAUCAGUUUGUUCACCAAGCAGUCUACCGCUGAUGUAGUGGCACGGUUUUUUCUAAAGCCAAAGGAAAAUUCGGGCAAUAGUCGAUACUUUUCUACAUCGCUAUAAAUAUUUUCCAGUAUUGCUGUGUUUGUUACCUUAGUAAUCGUUGGUAACAUGGCUAUAGGUCUAUAACUAGUAGCUUCGUUUGGGUCCUUCCCUGGUUUUUCUAUAGCAACUAUUCUUAUCGUUUUUAACUUUUUCUCUACUCUGCCCGACUUAUACAUGUUAUUGACAUCAUCAAUAAUGGCUUGUGUAUUUUUUCUGUUUAGUUUUUUAAGCAUAUUGUAUGAGAUGUUGUCAAUACCAGGGGAAGUGUUCUUUUUAGAGUGGAUAAUUCUAUCCCAUUUCUCAAGGUCUAUGAUAUUUUUGUCACUAUAGAAAUGAUGUACUUCUAUUCGGCUUGUACUCUUUGUCGGGCCGAAAUUGAUGUUUAGAAAUUCAGAUGCUUUGGUUUUGUCUUUGGUGAUGAUGUUGUAGUUUUUUGAACUUCCCUUCAUGGACCCAACUAUUUUCCAUAGCUUUGUGGCAGUGGUUUGGGAAUCUACUUUUGCUUGCUUUUUAGUGAAUCUAAACUUGGCCAAGUCUCGUUUGUAGCUUAUUGCAUUGUCCAGUGUUCUGUUUUGAUUGUAUAAUGUGCGCGAUUCAUUUUUCUUUUUCCACGCUUUUUGCACCUCUUCCGUCCACCACGUCUUUGGUAUGUAUUUUGUCUUAAUGCUAUUUCUAAUAAAUAUUCUUUGUAUAUCUUUGGUUAAGCUAUUAAUGUUGUUUCCUCUCUUGAAUGGAAGGUUUGCUAUCUGCUCGUCUAUUUUCUUUUUUUGAUAGACGAUUCUUUGGUUGUUUAGGGAUUGAAUGCCAUUAUACGAUGUUAUUAUAACCCUGUGUCCACUAUUGCCAAUAUGUAGAUCCGUUACCAGUCUCUGUAUGCUUGGCGCAACCGACAUCGUAGCUAUAGUUAAGUCUAUGGCUGAGUUCUUUUUUGCUGGGUCAGGGUUUAUGAACGUUUGUUCUUUGUUGUGUACUAGCAUCAUGUUGGCUUCAUUUAUCUCUUCAACAAUAGCUUUGCCUUUUCCAUCGCAAUAAUCGUUUCCCCAAUCUGUGUGGUGUGCGUUAAAAUCGCCAACGAUUAUAACUUUGUUAUAUCUUUGAAGAUUGUUCAUAAUUUGUCCGAUUAGUGUCCUGAAACGUGCUAUUUGUGUAGUCGGUUUCACAUACACUGAUGCUAUAACUAGUCCGGACUGUUUUAUUCUUAUCGCUAUAGCCUGGAUGAGCGGAUUGGGGGUAACGAUAUCUAACCGUUCGAUGGUAAGUGUAUUGCGGGCAAUUAUCAUGCACCCUCCGUAGCCAUCUUCUCUAUUCUGUCUUUGAAUAUUAGCUUGUAAUAUCUUGAAGAGGAGCAGUAUAGGUGCCAACUGUCGA